rnacentral:rRNA from 1 species
GAAACUACAAAUAGAAUUGACGGGGCCCGCACAAGCGGAGGAGCAUGUGGUUUAAUUCGAUGAUACGCGAGGAACUUACCUGGGCUCGAACGUAAGAUGACUGUAGGUGAAAGCUUACAUCUCUUCGGAGCAUUUUACGAGGUGCUGCAUGGUUGUCGUCAGCUCGUGCCGUGAGGUGUCGGGUUAAGUCCCAUAACGAGCGCAACCCCUACCUUUAGUUGCCAUCAGGUUAAGCUGGGGACUCUAAAGGAACUGCCUACGCAAGUAGUGAGGAAGGCGGGGAUGACGUCAAAUCAGCACGGCCCUUACGUCCAGGGCUACACACGUGCUACAAUGGCCGAUACAGAGGGCAGCUACCUGGUGACAGGAUGCAAAUCUCCAAAGUCGGUCUCAGUUCGGAUCGGAGUCUGCAACCCGACUCCGUGAAGUUGGAUUCGCUAGUAAUCGCGCAUCAGCCAUGGCGCGGUGAAUACGUUCCCGGGCCUU